rnacentral:tRNA from 1 species
ACCUGGCCGGCUCAAUGGGUAGAGCAUGGAACUCUCAAUCUCAGGGUCAUGAGUUCGAGCCCCAUGUUGGGCA